rnacentral:rRNA from 1 species
GACGAACGCUGGCGGCGUGCUUAACACAUGCAAGUCGAACGAUGAAGCCGGAGCUUGCUCCGGUGGAUUAGUGGCGAACGGGUGAGUAACACGUGAGCAAUCUGCCCUUGACUCUGGGAUAACUGCGGGAAACUGUAGCUAAUACCGGAUACGACACCUUGGGGCAUCCCAGGGUGUGGAAAGAAUUUCGGUCAAGGAUGAGCUCGCGGCCUAUCAGCUAGCUGGUGAGGUAAUGGCUCACCAAGGCGACGACGGGUAGCCGGCCCGAGAGGGUGACCGGCCACACUGGAACUGAGACACGGUACAGAAUCCGACGGGAGGCAGCAGUGGGGAAUAUUGCACAAUGGGGGAAAGCCUGAUGCAGCAACGCCGCGUGAGGGAUGAAGGCCUUCGGGUUGUAAACCUCUUUUAGCAGGGAAGAAGCGAAAGUGACGGUACCUGCAGAAAAGGCACCGGCUAACUACGUGCCAGCAGCCGCCGUAA